rnacentral:lncRNA from 1 species
GGUGCCACUUUUUCAAUUCAGACAGCAUUUAUUGGACUUCUACAUUGUUCUCAUCUCUAGCCAGACUGCUGUUAUUGGUUCCACAGUUUUUGCUCAUAAGCAAGAACUUGAUACAGAACCCAUCAAAUUAAGGCAUGAGCCACCAUGCCCGGCCUAAAAUUUUUCGUAACACACCUGCUCUACCACAUGUCAAAGCAUAUUUUAAAGCUGAAAUAUUGAGACGAUAUUCAACACAAAAACAGACCAGGAGUAGAUAACUACAUAUAUGUAAAAGUGAUAUAUGACAGGUAGUAUUGUAGAUCACUGGGGAAAUUCAUCAGUAAAUUCAAACUGGAUUCCUAUCUCUUAACCAUAUGUGCACACACACACAAAAAUCAAACCCAGGACUUAGAUGUAAAAGACAAAACCUUUAGAGAACAAAUAUGAAUGAGGUUCCAUGUUUCAAAAGUAAUUUAACUUUUUUGUGGUUUUCAACUUUGUUUUUGCUUCCUCUUCAUUCACUUGAAAAACCAACUUCCUUCAGUAAUAUUCAUUCAACGUCAUUUUUGAUGAGAUUAAUAUUUGCCAGACGCUUUCAAACACCAAGGAUACAGUAGUGAGCAAGACAAGCUCUCUUCCCUCACAGAGCUUACACUGAGGUGGUGACUAUGCAAAGGUACAUAGUAACCAAGUAAACAAGAUGUUUACAGAGUGUGAAAAGUGACAGAGAGUGAGUGAGGAGUGUGGUCAGAGUAGGCCUCUCUAAAGCAGAGACAUUAGAGUUGACACUUAAAAGAUCAGACAAUUGAACAUUUCAAGAGGGAAGGGUGUGCAUAAGAACAGAGGGAGAAAUGUCUUUAUGGGGAGAUGUGAAGUGUGUGUUGUGUGCCUUCAAAACUUCCUUGGGUCUUGUAACACCCACUGCAUUUUUCAAGUCCUUUCUUACUGCCUGCUCCCACCUCUGCUGAGAUAACUGAAAUAGCCUACUUCAUAUUAUUGUUUUUUACUGUCAUCAAAUCUGUCAAUUGUAUGUUUAAUAUUUUCUGCAAUUUUUAUAUAUAAAUUAGCAUGAAAGUUUUAACAUAAAAGCUUAGGAGCAAGCACAAACCUAUCUGUGCCAAAAGAGGGCAAAACAAAAUAAAAGUUCCUAAGAGAAGAUAAGCUACACAUAGUCAUAGUUUCGGCUUCAGCGUUUUGGAAAGUAUACAAGAAUACCCUUCUAGAAAGUCAGCAGGCAAAGUAACGAAUGAGUAUUGGGGAGCAUAGCACUUGAUAUGGUGUAGGCAUGUGGCCAGCCUGUACCGUAGACCAUGUACUGACCAUUCACUGGUCAUGUACCGUGGACCAUGUACAGCAGCAGGAAUUUGCCUUCUAAACUCAAUCUUAAUUACCCCCAGCUCUCAGGAAUGGGUCAGAGAAAACAUGUCUGUAGGAUGAAAUGAGUAUCUUCAGCUGAUCCAAGCUGUAAGGUGUGGCGGAGGACACAUGAAUUUUACCAGGACAUGAUCUAGGCAAGCCAAAUACAGAUAAACUUGGUCAGGUUCAGAUUUAAAAAAUGAAAAAGGAUAAUGGCAGCACGCAUGUUGGUGAUGAUAGCCACCAGUGUACCUGUCUCUUAAGAUUCACUCUAGUAUGAACUGAUUAUAUCUACACCUGGUGCAGCUGUCACCUUUGGAUUUCCCUACACCUCUCUUCCGUGUUGAAUGUCCUGUUUCUUUAUCACUAUGUCUUUCUUUUUCUUAGUUUCCUUAGGUUUGUUUCUUUUUCUUAGUUUCCUUAGGUUUGUUUUGAGGCAGGGUCUUGCUCUGUCGCCCAGGCUGGAGUGCAGUGGUGCAAUCACAGCUCACUGCAGCCUUGACUUCCCUGGGCUCAAGCAUUCCUCCUGCCUCAGCCUCCCAAGUAGCUGGAACAACAGACAUGCGCCACCACACUCG